UUGAUUGAACCGCAUGGUUCAAUUAUAAAAGGUGGCUUUUAGCUACCACUUACAGAUGGACCCGCGGCGCAUUAGCUAGUUGGUGAGGUAACGGCUCACCAAGGCAACGAUGCGUACCCAACCUGAGAGGGUGAUCGGCCACACUGGGACUGAAACACGGCCCAAACUCCUACGGGAGGCAGCAGUAGGGAAUCUUCCGCAAUGGACAAAAGUCUGACGGACCACCGCCGCGGGAGUGAUGAAGGUUUUCGGAUCGUAAAACUCUGUUGUUAGGGAAAAACAAGUACCGUUCGAAUAGGGCGGUACCUUGACGGUACCUAACCAAAAAGCCACGGCUAACUACGUGCCAGCAGCCGCGGUAAUACGUAGGUGGCAAGCGUUGUCCGGAAUUAUUGGGCGUAAAGCGCGCGCAGGCGGUUUCUUAAGUCUGAUGUGAAAGCCCCCGGCUCACCCGGGGAGGGUCAUUGGAAACUGGGGAACUUGAGUGCAAAAAAGGAGAGUGGAAUUCCACGUGUAGCGGUGAAAUGCGUAAAGAUGUGGAGGACCACCAGUGGCGAAGGCGACUCUCUGGUCUGUAACUGACGCUGAGGCGCGAAAGCGUGGGGAGCGAACAGGAUUAGAUACCCUGGUAGUCCACGCCGUAAACGAUGAGUGCUAAGUGUUAGAGGGUUUCCGCCCUUUUAGUGCUGCAGCAAACGCAUUAAGCA
rnacentral:rRNA from 2 species